rnacentral:rRNA from 1 species
UACGAAGGGGGCUAGCGUUGUUCGGAAUUACUGGGCGUAAAGCGCGCGCAGGCGGUCCUUCAAGUCAGGGGUGAAAUCCUGCAGCUUAACUGCAGAAGUGCCUUUGAUACUGUCGGUCUUGAGGGAGAUAGGGGUGUGCGGAACUCACAGUGGAGCGGUGAAAUGCGUUGAUAUUGUGAGGAACGCCGGAGGCGAAAGCGGCGCACUGGAUCUCUUCUGACGCUGAGGCGCGAAAGCUAGGGGAGCAAACGGG